AGUGAACGCUGGCGGCGUGCUUAACACAUGCAAGUCGAACGAGAACGGUCCUUCGGGAUGUCAGCUAAGUGGCGGACGGGUGAGUAAUGUAUAGUUAAUUUGCCCCUUAGAGGGGGAUAACAGUUGGAAACGACUGCUAAUACCCCAUACUCCUAUAUACUUAAUGUAUAUAGGGAAAGUUAUUUCGCUAAGGGAUAAGACUAUAUGGUAUCAGCUAGUUGGUGAGGUAAUGGCUCACCAAGGCAAUGACACCUAGCUGGUCUGAGAGGAUGAUCAGCCACACUGGAACUGAGACACGGUCCAGACUCCUACGGGAGGCAGCAGUGGGGAAUAUUGCACAAUGGGGGAAACCCUGAUGCAGCAACGCCGCGUGGAGGAUGACACAUUUCGGUGCGUAAACUCCUUUUAUAUGGGAAGAUAAUGACGGU
rnacentral:rRNA from 1 species